CGGUAAUUCCAGCUCCAAUAGCGUAUACUAAAGUUGUUGCCGUUAAAAAGCUCGUAGUCGAACUUCGGCCUUUGCCGCCCGGUCCGCCCUAUGGGUGUGUACUGGAGCGGUGGAGGCUUACCUCGUGGUGAACGGCCAUGCUCUUUACUGGGUGUGGUCGGGAACCAUGAUUUUUACUUUGAAAAAAUUAGAGUGUUCAAAGCAGGCUUACGCCCGAAUACAUUAGCAUGGAAUAAUAAAAUAGGACGUGCGGUUCUAUUUUGUUGGUUUCUAGAAUCGCCGUAAUGAUUAAUAGGGAUAGUUGGGGGCAUUCGUAUUCAAUUGCUAGAGGUGAAAUUCUUGGAUUUAUUGAAGACGAACUACUGCGAAAGCAUUUGCCAAGGAUGUUUUCAUUGAUCAAGAACGAAGGUUAGGGGAUCGAAAACGAUCAGAUACCGUUGUAGUCUUAACAGUAAACGAUGCCGACUAGGGAUCGGACGAGGAUUUUUAAUGACUCGUUCGGCACCUGAAGAGAAAUCUUUAAGUCUAGGUUCGGGGGGGAGUAUGGUCGCAAGGCUGAAACUUAAAGGAAUUGACGGAAGGGCACCACCAGGUGUGGAGCCUGCGGCUUAAUUUGACUCAACACGGGGAAACUCACCAGGUCCAGACACGACAAGGAUUGACAGAUUGAUAGCUCUUUCUUGAUUUCGUGGUUGGUGGUGCAUGGCCGUUCUUAGUUGGUGGAGUGACUUGUCUGGUUAAUUCCGAUAACGAACGAGACCUUAACCUGCUAAAUAGCCCGGCCGACUUUGGUUGGUCGCUGGCUUCUUAGAGGGACUAUCAGCGUUUAGCUGAUGGAAGUUUGAGGCAAUAACAGGUCUGUGAUGCCCUUAGAUGUUCUGGGCCGCACGCGCGCUACACUGACCGAACCAGCGAGUUUAUCACCUUGGCCGGAAGGCCUGGGUAAUCUUGUGAAACUCGGUCGUGAUGGGGAUAGAGCAUUGCAAUUAUUGCUCUUCAACGAGGAAUACCUAGUAAGCGUGAGUCAUCAGCUCGCGUUGAAUUCGUCCCUGCCCUUUGUACACACCGCCCGUCGCUACUACCGAUUGAAUGGCUUAGUGAGGUCUCCGGAUUGGCUUCUGGGAGCCGGCAACGGCACCUAGUCGCUGAGAAGUUGAACGAACUUGGUCAUUUAGAGGAAGUAAAAGUCGUAACAAGGUAGCCG
rnacentral:rRNA from 1 species